GAGGGGUGGGGCGCAGAGGGCAGCCUGCACGCGGCAGAGGGAACCACCCGUACUGAUCCAGAAGCGCAACCUGUUUGGGCCCCAGGGAUAUUGGAUCGGGAUAGAAGUUUGGAACUAGACUCACACGUGGCCUGGUUUCCGGUGCCAGCUCUGGGUCUUUUUCACUGGGAAUUUUGGUCCUCUGAGCAUCAGUUUCCUCAUCUGACACCUGGGCACAAGGGCAGGGCCAACUUAUUGGGCACGGGGUUUAUGAUAUCACUUAUAUGUGGAAUCUAAAAUAAUAAUACAAAUGAACUUAUUUACAAAAAAAAAAAAAUAGACUCACAGACAUGGAAAACAAACUUAUGGUUACCAAAAGGGAAGGGGGAGGAAUAAAUUAGGAGUUGGGAUUAACAGAUACACACCACUGUAUAUAAAAUAGAUAACCAACAAGGACCUACUACUGUACAGCACAGGGAACUAUAUUCAAUAUCUUGUAAUAACCUAUAAUGGAAAAGAAUCUGAAAAAGUAUAUAUAUAUUCUGGAUCUGAAAAAGAAUAUAUAUGUAUAUACAGGUAUAGAUAUAUAGAUCGCAGCCACCACUUACAGAGGGCUCAUCAGCACUGUGCUUUCAUGCAUCCCUUCUUUCCUCAUCUGACUACUGCUUAUUGUGUGUCCCUAAGUGCCUGGCACUAUGCUACUCCUGGAGCUCAUUGGUGAACAAAUUGAACAUCACCCUCGCCCUGGGGGAGCCUGUAUUCACUUGAGGGAACAAACAAAUGAGACAAUAACAGAGCGUGACAAGUGCCGGUUGGUAUUCUGUGAUAAUAGGAGAGCCCAACUUUGGCAGUCUCUAAGAAACUUAUAUUUGAGCUGAGAGCCAUAUGGCAAAAGGAGCAAAGCAAGCCGGACCAAGGAGAGAACACCAGGAGAACAGAGCUGCUGGACAGAGGCUGGGCGUGUGUCCUUGGAACCCAAAGGCCACUGAGACUGGCACCUGGCAGGCCAGCGAGAAUCCUGGAUGAAGUGGGAGAGGUAGGCUUGGGGAGGUGGUGGUGGGGAGUUGGGUUUUUCACUGAGGACUCUUCGGAAAGAUGUAAUGCAUUAACAUAUGUAGAGCACCAAGCGUGGAGCUUGCACACAGUAGGUGCUCAGCAAGUAUUAGUCAUUAUGAUAAGGAUGAGGGAACUUGGAGUUGGGAAUGCAAGUUAAGAGGCCUCAGUGAGAGUUAACGGGGGCUAAGAAGGGGCCGGGGCGGCUGCUGCGAGAUUGAGGUUAAGUCCUGAGGAUGCAGCAGACUUGGGGAUGGCUAGGGAGACAGCCCGGGAAGAUGUUCCUGAGACUUGCAGCCUGUGUGCCAGGGGUGGAGCACCACGGAGACGGAGAGCCCAGGGGGCGGGCUGGUUUCUGCACGGGACCCUAAUGAGUUCGAUAAUGAGUUCAGAUUGGGUCGUGCUGAUUGGAGGUGCCAUGGGAACACCCAUGCCUGGAUGUCUUGCAGGUGUCCAGAGGUGGGAGUCCGCGGCUCUGGAUUAAGUGACUCGGCUCCAGCUUCUGUUCACGAGAUUAAAGUGUAUUAAGUUAAUGAGUGUCCCUGCUGUUGGCUUGUUUCAGGGUUCAUUUUCAUUUGCUUUCUGAAAAUGUUGCAAAGAAUGGAUGGCUGUUAAACUCCCACUACUUUUCCUCUUGGAAUUUUUUUUAACAGUACCUGAAUUGAAAGCAGGCAAAUUAAUGUAUGUAUAACUAAUUGCUUCUAUGGAAUCAGGGAUUAUUUAACUCACCUCUCUCUCAACCAAAAAGUUACUUAUUAUUAAAUGGAUUAACAAACAAUCCCUAGUGAAAGCAUUACAUUCCGUCUGUAAGUAGCAAUGAUUGAGAAUAAUUCAAUCUAUAGGUCUUGCCUCCUGAGAUAUCAUUGACCUGUUGUUUUUGAAAAGCCUCAUCUAAAAUGUCCAAAUUAGCUUGCAUUACUGAAAACAAGGACUCUAAAGUCUUUUAAGAUAUUUUCCUAUUUCAGAAAAAUUCUGGUGGAGAAUUUCCUUGGAAAUGAGAAGUUGGUUUCACUUAAUCCAUUCAAGAAAUACUUACUGGGUGCCUACUCGGGGUUAUGGGCUGUAAACCAUAGACGCUGUUUAUCUAGUGCUGAUGGCAGAAAAGAGAAAAGAAAUGUCUCUGAUGAUAGGGGAAGUGCGGAGAGGAGAGGGCUUGACCUCAGAGAGAGAGGUCAAGGGAAGCCUUUCUAGGGAAAUGAUGUUUAAUCUGAGACUUCAGACUUGAACCUGGAGGACAACAAUACAAAGAGGGCACAGUAGAGAAAAUCCAAGAUGACAGUGAAAGAAAAUGACUGGAGAGCAAAGAUGAAAUGGGGAGGGAGAGACAGAGAGACAGAGAUCCAAGCAGGAACCAUAUGCCCUAGAAACUUACAAGUGGUUUGGACUUUAUCCCUGGGGUAAUGGGUAGCGUUGAAAGCUUCUAAACACAAGAGUGACAUGUCAGAUGUAGGGUCUUCGGAAGGUCAUUCUGGCCGCCAUAAAGAAAGGGUUUGAAGGGUGCAAAGUGGAGGUUGGGAGACCAGUUAGGAUGCUGUGGAUGAGACAUCCAGGUGAGACUUGAUGGUAACUGAGACUGAGGCAGGUGUGGGGAUGAAGUGAGUACAUUUGGGAGAGGCUUAGGAGGCUGGACAGAUAGAAUCUGAAGGGUCUUAUCCGGUGAGUGUAUAAUAAACACACCAAUAUUUAAAUUCCUCAUCAUAUAGGUAGUUUCUAGUCGUGCUUCAGCCCACUCCUCUCUGUCUUCCGUCUCCUUCAUGCCACUGAACUACACUUGCCAAUGUUAACAUUUCUUUUGUACCCAAAGAACACCGCUGGGUCUUCAGUCUGUUUGAUCUGUCGAGAGUAAAUGCACAGGCAGCUCUGGCCUUCUUUUUUUUUUUUUUUUUUUUUUUGCGGUACGCGGGCCUCUCACUGUCGUGGCCUCUCCCAUUGCGGAGCACAGGCUCCGGACGCGCAGGCUCAGCGGCCAUGGCUCACGGGCCCAGCCGCUCUGCGGCAUGUGGGAUCUUCCCGGACCGGGGCACGAACCUGUGUCCCCUGCAUCGGCAGGCGGACUCUCAACCACUGUGCCACCAGGGAAGCCCAGCUCUGGGCUUCUUGAAACACUGUCCUUCCUCGGCAUCGGCAGCCCCACGCUUUCUUGGUUUUCCUCCUCCUUGCUCAGCUGUUCUGUCUCAGACUCCUUCCCCUCUUGUCCCUCUACUUGUUCUCUAGACACUGCAGAGCCUCGGGACUCAGGCCUGGACUCUUCCCUUCCCCACUCUCUCCCUAGGGGAUCUCAUUCACCCCCAUCUUUAAAGCCAUCUCUAUGCUGAGAACUCAAAUUUGUACCUGCAGCCCUCGUGUCUGCUCUCAUCUCCGGACUCGUGUAUCUACCGACCCAACUGCCCCUUGACCUCACCCUUAGGCUUCUCCAUGGGCAUCCCAACAUCUCCAUUAGCACCCCAAACGUGGUGCUUCUGCCUUCUUCCCCUCUCAGGAAAUGGGGCCACCAGCUCCAGGUACCAAUACCAAACACCUGCAAGUCAUCCUUAACUUCUUUCCCCUCCCCCAUCCAAUCCAAAGGCAAAUCCUGUAUCAGUCCCACUUUAAAAACACACCUCACGUCUCUCCACUUCUCCCCAUCUCCAUUGCCACCGUCUUGGUCCAGGUUUCCACUAAUUCUCACCUAGACACUGCAGGAGCCUUUCUCAGUCUUUUCUCCAAACAUCCACAGAGUUUUUUCUUUUUUAAUUUUGCUGAAUCACUUUAUCAUAAAGGAAAAAAAUCCAAAGAUUGCAAAACUCCCCUAUUUUUUGGCUAUAAUUUGUAUCCUUAUGAUGCAAGUAAAAUGAACAAAUACUUACUGAACUUCUAGAUGCAAGGUUACAUACCACAGAGGGAGCAAGGUGACCAAGGUGACUAUGACCCAUGCCAUCAAGAAGCUGAAAAUUCACUAAGGAGAGAGAUCAUUUAAAUAUGAAGGUGAAAAUGACAUUGGCUGUGACAGAAGUGCUGAUAAAGUUUUCCUGAAAUCAGAAAAGGAAGAUUUUAUUUCUUUUUUUAUGUUCAUAUUUCUUUUACUUUUUAAUUUAAAAACAUUUUUUAUUUUAUAUUGGAGUAUAGUUGAUUUACAAUAUUGUGUUAGUUUCAGGUGUACAGCAAAGUGAUUCAGUUAUACAUAUACAUACAUCUAUUCUUUUUCAGAUUCUCUUCCCAUGUAGGUUAUUACAGAAUAUUGAGUAGGGUUCCCUGUGCUAUACAGUAGGUCCUUGUUGACUAUCUAUUUUACGUAUAGCAGUGUGUAUAUGUUAAUCCCAAACUCCUAAUUUAUCCCUCCCCCGCUUCCCCUCUAGUAACCAUAAGUUUAUUUUCUAUGUCUGUGAGUCUGUUUCUGUUUUGUGAAUAAGUUCACUUGUAUCAUUUUUUUAGAUUCCACAUAUAAGUGAGAUCAUAACGACAUUUUAUUUUAUUUCUUUUUCCCUCCUGCCCAUUUUAUUUCACUUCUGACUGAGAUGGUUAGGCACUGUUUCUUGGGAGAAAUGCUUUUGAGCAGAUACUAAAGGGGUAGGCAGAAUUUGAGCACGUUGAGAUUAGAGGGAAGGGCAUUUGAAGGGGAAGGACCAGGAGGGAAGGUGUGAGAAGUAAGGAAUGGCUCCGUUUGGUUGAUCAUAGGAAAGAAAAGGGCCGUGGGAGAGAAGGAUGGGAAAUAGGGUGAGAUCGUGGAAUGCCUUGAAUUACAUGCUGAAGAGUUUAACCUUCCUCCUGUGGGAUAUAGGCAAUGGAAAACUAUGAUAGUUUUUGACCAGGAGUAUCCCAUGAACAAACUUUAAUCUGAUGAGAAUGAUCUAGCAAUGGUGUGUACGAUUUAGACGGUAUACAGUUUUCAUCCCUUAACUUCCUUUCUGCUUCUCCAAAGUGACUCACUGGCCACCACAAAGUGUUUGAACACUCCUGUCUUCAAGAGGUGGGGCUUAGUUUUCUGUCUUCUUGAGUGUGGGCUGAAUGUAGCUAUUUCAUUCUAAUGAAUGGAAUAAAGCAGGGACAGGGUGAGAUUCACAGAGUAGGUCAUAAAAGGACACUGUGACUUCCAUCUUGGUCACACUGUCCCUUGGGUCACUUGCUUUGGAGGAAGAUCGACACCAAGGUGUGGGCAGACCUAUGGAGAGAACCACGUGGUGAAGAACUAAGGCAUCCUACACCAGCCAAGAAAGUGAACUUGGAAGUGUGUCUCCCCCUCCCAUUCAAACCCCAGCUGACAUCUUGACUGCAGCCUUGCGAGAGACCUUCAAUCAGAAACACCAAGCUAUGCUGCUUCCCAGUUUCUGACCUAUAGAAACAAUGAGAUAAUAAAUGUGUGUCGCUUUAAGCCAAUACAUUUGGGGUAAUUUCUUAUGAAGCAAAAAUUAAUGAAUGCAAGUACCCAGAGUGAUCUUUUAAAAUCAGAUUAUGUCCCUCCUCUGUUUGAUACCCCUCAGCGGCUUCCAUUUCACCUGAAAGAAAGACAAACCAUUUUCUCACAUCUGGCAUGAUGACAGAGUGGGAUCAACAAAUCCUGUCCCCCAAAGCUGGACAACACUGUCAAAAAUAGUCACUGCAGCCUUGUGCAAGCUGACCGAAGGCAUUCAACAACCUGAGAAGCGUUUCUUAAUGAACAUGACCAAGCUUCAGGUGAGAACACCGUGAAUCUCUGACAUUUUUGCCCAUGUAUGCUCCUACGCUUGAAAGCAACAAGGGGAAUACGAUUCACGACUGACUUCUCUUUAGAAAUAAUGGAGACCAAAGGCAGCAGAAUGACAUACUUGAAAUGCUGACAUAAGACACACUGUCAAGCAAGAAUUCUCAGUCUAGCAAAUAUAAAAAAUGAAGGUGAAAUAUAUGCAUUUUCAGAUAAACAAAGACUGAAGAAUUUGUUGCUAGCAGACCUGCCUUACGAGAAAUACUAAAGGAAGUUUUUCAACCUGAAAUCGAUGCUAGGCAGUGAUUUGAAUUCACAAGAAGAAAUGAAGAAUACCAGAAAUGGUGACUUUUAUUCACGCUUCAGACCUCAACUCAUACAUCAUUCCCCUGGAGUAGCCCUCCUGAUUCGCCAGAAGAAGGCUAAGACAUGGUACCAUUUUGCAACAACAGGAGAGAAGCCAAGAGAACUAUGGAGGCAUAGGCUCUGCCAUUGAUGAGCUGCUGAGAUAACACCAGGAAACACCUACCUCCAGAAUUCUUGAAGGCAGACAACUCAGCUUUCAAAUGAUUUGUACUAUGUGGAUGAACUGCAGAUGGACAGUUACGAAGACCCAGGGUUGCAGUGACCUAACACCAAGAAAUGAAAACUCUAGAAAACUAGCCCUUCACGUAUACAAGACAUGAACACCCUGAGGGCAGGGGCCACAGGGCAAAGGUUUCACUGAGUCCUUUAAUCUGACCUGAGGUUAGAAAUCAGCAGUCACGAAGGUAGCCAACUUUCGAGGGAACUUGGCAACAGUGGAGGAGGGCCCGUGAGGCUCCAGCCCAAACCUUGGGAGCUCCGGCAUGAAGUCAGCAUGCUGGUAAGAGGACAACUUUGGAAUGUCAAAGUCCGGCCUGAGCAAAAUGCCUACGGGGUGUCCUGGUCUGCAGAGGGCAGAAAGAAAGCUCUGCUGAGCCGAAAAGGAGCCUAGAGGAAAAAGCUUUCAUUGGUCCAUCUCACCAGCCACACAAAGGCCCUGGGUCCUAUCCUCCAGCAAGAUGAUGCCAGAUGGCUGACGGACAGAGAACCACCUCCAAAAGUUGACAAAUCUCCCACUUUGGGGACUGGUUCCAAUAAGGAUGCUUCUCACUGUGAUGGUUGAAGGCAUCAACCAGCUUAAAGCAGCAUUAGGUUUUUUGCCUCCUUAUCCUGAAAAGACAAAUCUCUACCUUCUGAGUACCAGGAUAUUUUCAUAAUUGUACUCUCCGCUUCAAAAAGCCUAGCUGUGAAAGAAUCCUUCAAAGGAAGUUGAUAUAAAACUUAGUUGGGACCCAGAGACAUCUAAUCUGCAAGUUAAAUGGAUAUUCCAUGCAUUCAUAACCAUUCAAAGCAUCCUAAUGUCUAGAGAAACCUAACUGGCCCCAUCCUAUCAUGAUGUUAUUAUUAACCCGGGCCUCAGGGGGGCGCCCUAGAGCAGGGGAACUUAAAGUCAUUCUCAGCCUUAAAAGUGAAUUUCUUAAACGGUUUUCUAUUAGUUAAAUCAGUAAUUAGUCUAAAUACAUCAUUUCAGUAAUCUGCCAUGAGUCAGUUGAAUGCAAAAUGGGGGGAAAAACUGUGGGCUAACUAGGGUGAUCCCCAAGGACACAAUGUUUUAAUCUUAGAUAUAAAAUAACUUUAUAUUUCAUUUGCCUUGCACAUUCUUAAAUGUGUUAAAUAGAUGUGUAUUCCUCAACCUGGCAUAACUACAUAUCCUCUAGAUUUACUGAGCGUACAGAAGGCAGACAGGGCAACUUUGUGGAAAAAAAAAAAAAAGAAGAAGAAAGAAGAAAACUAAAGAAUAGAACUCUACAACAAAAAUGUAGUUUCUAAAAUGGAUGCCAAAGUAGAAAAGAUAUUGAGAGAAAAAUAUAUGUGUAUUUCAGCAAAACUACAAACACACCAAAACAGGUACAAGCAGCAUGAAAACCCCAGGGGAACAAACCCCAAAAAUCACUCUAAUUUAUAGUAACUGAACCCUUGGCUUUACCUUCCUCCCAACACCUGAUAAUUCUGUGAAAUCACCCAGCUGUCACUCUUUUCCUUUUAGAAACAUGACACUGAUUUGUCUUUAUUAGAAUUCAGAGGUCUGCUUGAUGGGGCCCCUAAUAAAUGUAAGUCAUCAUCA